GAUCAUGGCUCAGAUUGAACGCUGGCGGCAGGCCUAACACAUGCAAGUCGAGCGGUAGCACAGAGAGCUUGCUCUCGGGUGACGAGCGGCGGACGGGUGAGUAAUGUCUGGGAAACUGCCUGAUGGAGGGGGAUAACUACUGGAAACGGUAGCUAAUACCGCAUAAUGUCGCAAGACCAAAGUGGGGGACCUUCGGGCCUCAUGCCAUCAGAUGUGCCCAGAUGGGAUUAGCUAGUAGGUGGGGUAACGGCUCACCUAGGCGACGAUCCCUAGCUGGUCUGAGAGGAUGACCAGCCACACUGGAACUGAGACACGGUCCAGACUCCUACGGGAGGCAGCAGUGGGGAAUAUUGCACAAUGGGCGCAAGCCUGAUGCAGCCAUGCCGCGUGUGUGAAGAAGGCCUUCGGGUUGUAAAGCACUUUCAGCGGGGAGGAAGGCGAUAAGGUUAAUAACCUUGUCGAUUGACGUUACCCGCAGAAGAAGCACCGGCUAACUCCGUGCCAGCAGCCGCGGUAAUACGGAGGGUGCAAGCGUUAAUCGGAAUUACUGGGCGUAAAGCGCACGCAGGCGGUCUGUCAAGUCGGAUGUGAAAUCCCCGGGCUCAACCUGGGAACUGCAUUCGAAACUGGCAGGCUAGAGUCUUGUAGAGGGGGGUAGAAUUCCAGGUGUAGCGGUGAAAUGCGUAGAGAUCUGGAGGAAUACCGGUGGCGAAGGCGGCCCCCUGGACAAAGACUGACGCUCAGGUGCGAAAGCGUGGGGAGCAAACAGGAUUAGAUACCCUGGUAGUCCACGCCGUAAACGAUGUCGAUUUGGAGGUUGUGCCCUUGAGGCGUGGCUUCCGGAGCUAACGCGUUAAAUCGACCGCCUGGGGAGUACGGCCGCAAGGUUAAAACUCAAAUGAAUUGACGGGGGCCCGCACAAGCGGUGGAGCAUGUGGUUUAAUUCGAUGCAACGCGAAGAACCUUACCUGGUCUUGACAUCCACAGAACUUAGCAGAGAUGCUUUGGUGCCUUCGGGAACUGUGAGACAGGUGCUGCAUGGCUGUCGUCAGCUCGUGUUGUGAAAUGUUGGGUUAAGUCCCGCAACGAGCGCAACCCUUAUCCUUUGUUGCCAGCGGUUAGGCCGGGAACUCAAAGGAGACUGCCAGUGAUAAACUGGAGGAAGGUGGGGAUGACGUCAAGUCAUCAUGGCCCUUACGACCAGGGCUACACACGUGCUACAAUGGCAUAUACAAAGAGAAGCGACCUCGCGAGAGCAAGCGGACCUCAUAAAGUAUGUCGUAGUCCGGAUUGGAGUCUGCAACUCGACUCCAUGAAGUCGGAAUCGCUAGUAAUCGUAGAUCAGAAUGCUACGGUGAAUACGUUCCCGGGCCUUGUACACACCGCCCGUCACACCAUGGGAGUGGGUUGCAAAAGAAGUAGGUAGCUUAACCUUCGGGAGGGCGCUUACCACUUUGUGAUUCAUGACUGGGGUGAAGUCGUAACAAGGUAACCGUAGGGGAACCUGCGGCUGGAUCACCUCCUUCUA
rnacentral:rRNA from 1 species